rnacentral:lncRNA from 1 species
AUGUGGAAGGGCCCUACUAUGUGGAGUGACAGGCUUUUAGAUAAUAGUGCUAAUUCAGAAGGAUGUUUACAAACAUUGCUCUCUCUGUUCAAGUGUAUGUAUUUUAUAACCUUUGAAAUACAGAAAAGAAAUAGCCUAAUUCAUUUAUCCAUUUUCUUAUUAAACCACAACUUUUCAUUAUAUACUCAUAGCUUUGUUUCAAAUUGGACAAAGAAUGACUACAUCAUUAGGCUCCUACUUUCGAGGUGUUAAGAAUCUUUGGUUCUUCCUGAUGAUAGCUUUGUGAUUCACAAGAAGUCAUUUUUCAAAAGACUCAAUUCCAUUUUGUAGACAAUGGACAAGGCUUUACAAGUCAUUGGUUAUUAUUGUUAACCAGUUAUGUAUUAACCACAUUUUACUAAGUUACCUAGAUCUAUACUGACAGAACUGAAGUCAGUAUCUAAGCCUCAGUGCAUAUUCAGCGCUGAUGUUGAGCUGAAUCCACAAUAGUCCAAGGAGGGUUUUCAGACAAGUGUUUCAAAACCUGUUAGAAAACUUCAAGAACAAAAAAAAGCUGUGUUUUGGAAAGACUGAAAACAUGACCUUAGUGAAAAGUAUGCCUUGAACUUAGCUUGCCCAUAAGGCCACAGAGAAAGUGACAUGUCCAACUUGUAGCAGAGAAGGAAGAUUUGUUUUUACAGCGACAAUUUUAAACACACUGCAGGGAAUUAAUUAAGACCACUCCAAUUAUAUUUUUCCUUUUUUGUUUCAUUUGAUUUCAUCUUUCUUUAAUCUUAUUCUGCCUAACCACAGAGCUAUUCCUCCCCCACAGACAGGACAGGUGAAAAGUAAACUAUCACUAGUAUUUAUAAAUACACUUUAGCUCAAUGUUCAAACAGCUUACAGCAGCCCCCCUCCCCACCCUCCUUAUCUGAAGCUUCACUAACAUAAACUUGCCUGAGUUUUCAAGCGUCUUGCCUAAAGUGUCUUCUCUGACUUACCAGUUCUGGCUUCCAAACUGGAGAAAGUGGGAGAAUUAAUAACACUCUAAGUGACGUAUGUGUGCAUGCGGGCACAGUCCUGUCUGACUCUUUGUGACCCCAUGGACUGUAGCCCGCCAGGCUC